rnacentral:rRNA from 1 species
GACGAACGCUGGCGGCGUGCUUAACACAUGCAAGUCGAACGGAAAGGCCCUGCUUUUGUGGGGUGCUCGAGUGGCGAACGGGUGAGUAACACGUGAGUAACCUGCCCUUGACUUUGGGAUAACUUCAGGAAACUGGGGCUAAUACCGGAUAGGAGCUCCUGCUGCAUGGUGGGGGUUGGAAAGUUUCGGCGGUUGGGGAUGGACUCGCGGCUUAUCAGCUUGUUGGUGGGGUAGUGGCUUACCAAGGCUUUGACGGGUAGCCGGCCUGAGAGGGUGACCGGCCACAUUGGGACUGAGAUACGGGCCAGACUCCUACGGGAGGCAGCAGUGGGGAAUAUUGCACAAUGGGGGGAAGCCUGAUGCAGCAACGCCGCGUGCGGGAUGACGGCCUUCGGGUUGUAAACCGCUUUCGCCUGUGACGAAGCGUGAGUGACGGUAAUGGGUAAAGAAGCACCGGCUAACUACGUG